rnacentral:rRNA from 1 species
CCAUAUGCUUGUCUCAAAGAUUAAGCCAUGCAGGUCUAAGUACGGCCUCCAGCGAAAAGGCGAAACCGCGAAUGGCUCAUUAAAUCAGUUAUGGUUCCUUGGUGACGUUGACCGCGCGUUUUUGGAUAACCGUGGUAAUUCUAGAGCUAAUACAUGCAACCGAAGCUCCAGCGGCCGGCGAUCGCGGCGGAAUUCCGGAAGCUCUCUCUCGGGAGCUCUCCGGCCGCUCGUCGUCGUCGGUCGACGAGCGCUUUUAUUAGACCGCAACGGAUCGCGCGCGGGUGGCUUGCGGACCUCCGGUUCGCGACCCGCGUUGCGAGGUGACUCUGGAUAACCCUUAGCAGAUCGGCCGGUGGCGAAAACGUGUUCGCCGCACACACGCCGGCCGACGCAACUUUCAAGUUUCUGACUUAUCAACUGUCGACGGCACGUUAAACGCUUGCCGUGGUUUUAACGGGUGACGGGGAAUCGGGGUUCGAUUCCGGAGAGGGAGCCCGAGAAACGGCUACCACAUCCAAGGAAGGCAGCAGGCUCGCAAAUUACCCACUCCCGGCACGGGGAGGUAGUGACGAAAAAUAACGAUGCGGGACUCGGUCGAGACCCCGCCAUCGGAAUGAGCGGACCGUAGACAGUUCGCGCGAGGAGCGACCGGAGGGCAAGUCUGGUGCCAGCCGCUGCGGUAAUUCCAGCUCCGGUAGCAUGGCGCCUCCAGCGUGCCUCGGUUCGCCCGGCCGGACACGGUCGGGGAAUCGCUCAACGGACGUCGUGCUGGGGACUGGGGAUUGGAACUGUUCCCCUCGAACGAGGAAUGCCAAGUAGGCGCGAGUCACCAUCUCGCUUCGAUUACGUCCCUGCCCUUUGUACACACCGCCCGUCGCUACUACCGAUCGAACGUCGAGGUGAGGCCGUCGGACCGGAGCCUCGGGCCCCCGCCGUCCCGCGCGUCCACAAAUCGUGCGAUCGACGGGGUCGUGCCCCCGGAUGCCGGAAAGUCGGUCGAACCCCGGCGUUUAGAGGAA